GCGGUCGUGGCGGAAUUGGUAGACGCACCAGCUUGAGGUGCUGGCGCCGCAAGGCGUGGAGGUUCGAGUCCUCUCGACCGCACCA
rnacentral:tRNA from 1 species